rnacentral:rRNA from 1 species
CCUACGGGUGGCAGCAGUGGGGAAUAUUGGGCAAUGGGCGCAAGCCUGACCCAGCAACGCCGCGUGAAGGAAGAAGGCUCUCGGGUUGUAAACUUCUUCUAUCAGGGACGAAGCAAGUGACGGUUCCUUAUGAAUCCGCCACGGCUAACUACGUGCCAGCAGCCGCGGUACUACGUAGGUGGCAAGCGUUAUCCGUAUGUACUGGGUGUAAAGGGCGUGUAGGCGGGAAAGCAAGUCAGAUGUGAAAACCAUGGGCUCAACCUGGGGACUGUAUUUGAAACUGUUGUUCUUGAGUGCUGGAGAGGUAGACGGAAUUCCUAGUGUAGCGGUGAAAUGCGUAGAUAUUAGGAGGAACACCAGUGGCGAAGGCGGUCUGCUGGACAGCAACUGACGCUGAGGCGCGAAAGCGUGGGGAGCAAACAGGAUUAGAUACCCGAGUAGUC